AUGGCCUGGACCCCUCUGCUCCUCAUGUUCCUCUCUCAUUGCUCAGGUUCCCUCUCCCAGCCUGUGCUGACUCAGAUGACCUCACUCUCUGCAUCUCCAGGAGCAUGAGCCAGACUUACCUGCACCCUGAGCAGUGGCUUCAGAGUUGGUAACUUUGCAAUAUAGUGGUCAGCUGAAGCCAGGCAGCCGUCCCAGGUGUCUCCUGAGAUACUACUCAGACUCAAAUAUCACUCAGCACCCUGGGGUUCCCAUCCACUUCUCUGGAUCCAAUGAUACAUUAGCCAAUGCAGGGAUUCUGUACAUUCCUGGGCUGAAGCCUGAGGGUGAGGCUAUUACUGUUGUACGUGUCACAGCAGCUCC
rnacentral:lncRNA from 1 species